CGGGAGGUGGAGGUUGCGGUCAGCCGAGAUCGUGCCACUACAAUCCAGCCUGGGUGACAGAGCAAGACUUCAUCUCAAAAAAAUAAAAUUAAAUUAAAUUAAAAAAAAUUAGUCCAGUUGUUACCCUUGGGGAAUUUACAGUUUAGCUGGGACCUUGUGUUCCAGAGACUCAGAGAAAGGAAGAGCCCAUUCUUUCUGGAAGGAGCAUAAAUCAGGGAGGGCUUCCUGGAGGAAGUGACAUUUGAGGGACGCCUUGAAGGAAAUUAUUGAUGAUGAAGAGCAAGAGCAUUGGAGUCAAAACUGGGAUCAAAUUCCAGCUGUCUGGUGUUCUUGCUGUGUGAUCUUGGGUAAAUGACCUCCCCUCCCAGGACCUCAGCUUAUAAAAUGAAGCAUGCCACCCUAUCUCCCUGGGCUGUUGUGAGAAUGACCUUAAAGGAGAAACUAUAUGUGAAGUGCUGUUCUGGAGUAAUGACCGCAGACACAGGUAUCACUACUAUGUUAUUUAUUUAUUUAUUUAUUUAGCGGCAGGGUCCCGCUCCGUCACCUAGGCUAGAGUGCAGUGAUGAGAUCACGGCUCACUGCAGCCUCAACCUCCCAGGCUGAAGCAAUCCUCCCACUUCAGUCUCCCUAGUAGCUGGCACUACAGGCAUGUGCCACCAAACCAGGCUAAUUUUCUUUUUUUUAUUUUUUGACUUAAAACAAUACAAAUGUAUUUUCUUAAAGGUCUGCGGAUCAGAGGUCUAAAAGUGUCAGGAGGUCUGUGUUCCUUCUGGGAGCUUCAGAGAGAAUCUGUUUCCUUGUCUGUUUCAGCUUCUGGAAGCUGCCUGCAUUUCUUGGCACCUCCUCACGUCACUAUGACAUCUGCUUCCGUUGUCACCUCCUGUGACUGACCCUGACCCUCCUGCCUCCCUCUUAAAAGGACCCUCGUGACUCCAUUGAGCCCACCCAGACAAUCCAGGAUAACCACCCCUUCUCAAGAUCCUUUACUUAAUCUCACCUGCAAAGUCCCUUUUGCCAUGGAAGGUCACCUCUUCACAGGUUCAGGGGAUUAAGAUGUGGACAUCACCGGGGGUCAUGAUUCUGAUUGCUACAGGGUCUGAGAAGCUAGAGAGUAAGUGUGUCCAGUGGUGGAGAGAAGCCUUGAAUGCCGAGCUAAGGAGCCUGGACUUGGCCUUUCCUUCAAAAUAGAUGCAUGACCUGUCAGCCUCUCACCACCUCAGCUCUGUUACCCUGAUCCAAAUCGCUAUCACCUCCUGCUUGGACCAUUACAGUAGCCUCCUCUCUGGGAUCUUCACUGCCCCUACACCAUACUCUCACCUCCACCAGCAACCAGAGGGAUCCUAUUAAAAUCUUUUGGCCGGGUGCGGUGGCUCACGCCUGUAAUCCCAGCACUUUGGGAGGCUGAGGCGGGUGGAUCACCAGGUCAGGAGAUCAAGA
rnacentral:lncRNA from 10 species